rnacentral:rRNA from 1 species
GAUGAACGCUGGCGGCGUGCCUAAUACAUGCAAGUCGAGCGAAUGGAUUAAGAGCUUGCUCUUAUGAAGUUAGCGGCGGACGGGUGAGUAACACGUGGGUAACCUGCCCAUAAGACUGGGAUAACUCCGGGAAACCGGGGCUAAUACCGGAUAACAUUUUGAACCGCAUGGUUCGAAAUUGAAAGGCGGCUUCGGCUGUCACUUUUGGAUGGACCCGCGUCGCAUUAGCUAGGUGGUGAGGUAACGGCUCACCAAGGCAACGAUGCGUAGCCGACCGGAGAGGGUGAUCGGCCACACUGGGACUGAGACACGGCCCAGACUCCUACGGGAGGCAGCAGUAGGGAAUCUUCCGCAAUGGACGAAAGUCUGACGGAGCAACGCCGCGUGAGUGAUGAAGGCUUUCGGGUCGUAAAACUCUGUUGUUAGGGAAGAACAAGUGCUAGUUGAAUAAGCUGGCACCUUGACGGUACCUAACCAGAAAGCCACGGCUAACUACGUGCCAGCAGCCGCAGUAA